rnacentral:lncRNA from 1 species
UGAGUUUUAAAAUCAAAUGUUUGACGAAAAUCCUAAUUAUUACGGCCAUUCAAUAAUUGUUUAAGCGAACUUCGCUCCGAAUCGUUUUUCGUUAUCAAAUGUUUAUCAUUGGUAACAGGUGUAAAUUAAAUAAUUGUAUGCAUCCCAUUUUCCUCGUUACCUACCUACAACAACAGUAGGCGCAUCCGUCCCCAGUUUCAUAGGAAAUAUUUUUAUUUUUUUUUUUAACACAUUUUUCGAAUUUAAAACAAUAAUAUCGACUUCUCAUAAUACCUACGUGUCAUUACGCGUAAUAAUGUUACGUUGUAUAAAUGUCAAGUGUGCCGUUGAAUUCCGUUUUCAAAUUAUGAAUAUUCUACAGGUCGCGUCGAAAGAUGCGGUAGACACGAGUCAUUUUAAAACGUAAUUACACGAUAGCAAUGGAACCGAUGACUAUAGUUCGCGAAUAAAUCGAAAACGAUUAUUAUCACGCAUACCUAAACACGACGAGCUUAACAAUUAUUUCGAUUUUCACGUGUGUGUGUUUAAAUUACGAAAACACAAAUUUGACUGGAAAUCCGUUUGCCGAUUAUAGUAUUACACCGUUGCACACUUGACGGUUCAUCGGAACCCGUGUACACGGCACUGACCAUCACUCAGACUGCCUCUCAAAACGCGUUUGCACAAUAUCGAAUGCACCUAAAUUGUAUAGUUAUGUUAUAGAUUUAUUGUAAUUUGUGUAUACGAGUUUAAUCCGAAAACGAGAAUUCGCAAUUGAUCACGUUUAGUAGUCGGUGCCGAUAACAAUAAAUACUUCAUUAUUACAAUAGAAAUCUUUAAUUAUUUUUGGAACCUCGUCGAACCUAUUAUAAAAAAAAUUCAAAAAAUGAUGCCAAUAUUCGGUAAAUAUAUAUGCAUUGGACAAAUUGUGUUUUACAGUUUACGUCACGGUUAUUCGUCGAUUCGUUUCUACGCAUAUUUUUGUACGCAUCUUGUUCGUAUCGUUGAAUAAUAAUUUCCAGAUAUUUAAAAUAUUGUCCGUCCGCUCAUAAGAAUAUGUUUUUACAUUUAGGCCCGAAAAUGUUAUACUUCGUGAUGAUUUUAAUAUAAAACUUCAGUAACAGAAUAUGCGAGUAGUAAAUUAUUAAUUGCAAAAAACAUAUAAUAUUAUUGAAAUUUAGUCGAAAUUAUUGUUCAUAUACAGUGUACGUGUUACGCUUAAAAAAAAAAAAAAAAAAAAAAUCGUGUUACCUAUUGUCUUCGUCGUUCACACUAUAAUAUUAUUAUUAUACUUGAACUGUUCUGUCAUUCAAAAUAAUAUACAGGUUUGAAAAUUUAAAAAAUCGCAUUGUCACCGCUUUCCGAACACAAAACAUAUACCUGUAUAGUACGCGACUAUAAUGUACCUACCUGCGACCUGCCUGUUUAUGAAUCAAUAUUGUAAUUUACUGAAUUAUGCAAUUAUAAUUUUUUUACAUUUACAAACCGUUGUGGUGCGCAUCAUAUCUAAUAUAGCAAUGCCAACAACACAAUCUAGGGAAAAUACCUUCGUGCGAUGAAUUUCACGUGGCUAUACUUCAGCGGCCAAUGUAAAGUUUUUAUGUUACAGACAAAACUGUCGUGUAAAUUAAUUCUUUUAUAAUACCUAAUGCGGCAACUAUAAGCUCGAGUAACAAACUAAUUGAUUUUCUACAUAUAUUAUCGCGGUUAGAAAUGUUACUUAAGAAUUAAACAUCGGUUCGUUCAAAUUUUACAGUUUGAUAAAUAUUAUAUAAUCAUACUAUUUAUACGUAUUACGUACGUAAUUAUUCGUUGUUAUUACACGUGUAGUAUUUUUUUUUCCCCGUAGUAAUCUCUGGGGUUUUAUUAAAUCCAGUUAUUAAAUUUAAAAACGCCAUAAAUGAAAAACUGACGAAUUUACCGUUUUAAAAAUUUCAUUAUUUUAUAUUUUUUA